GAUGAACGCUGGCGGCGUGCCUAAUACAUGCAAGUCGAACGCUUCUUCCAUCCCGUGUCCUUGCUCUCAUUUGGGACGGGGGGUGGCGGACGGGUGAGUAAACCGUGCGUAACCUACCCAUCAACGGCGGAUAACACUUGGAAAUAGGUGCUAAUAUAGCAUACCAGUUUAUGCCACAUGGAAUAAGAGUGUUACGCGCUCUCGGGUGUCGCUGCUGGCUGGAUCCGCGGUGCAUUAGCUAGUUGGUGAGGUAACGGCUCACCAAGGCCACGACGCAUAGCCGACCUGAGAGGGUGAUCGGCCACACUGGGACUGAGACACGGCCCAGACUCCUACGGGAGGCAGCAGUAGGGAAUCUUCGGCAAUGGGCGAAAGUCUGACCGAGCAACGCCGCGUGAGUGAAGAAGGUUUUCGGAUCGUAAAACUCUGUUAUUAGGGAAGAACAAGGGCGUAAGUAACUAAGCGCGCCCUGACGGUAUCUAACCAGAAAGCCACGGCUAACUACGUG
rnacentral:rRNA from 1 species